rnacentral:rRNA from 1 species
CCUACGGGUGGCUGCAGUGAGGAAUAUUGGUCAAUGGCCGUAAGGCUGAACCAGCCAAGUCGCGUGAAGGAAGAAGGAUCUAUGGUUUGUAAACUUCUUUUAUAGGGGAAUAAAGGUAUCGACUCGUGGAUAUCUGCGUGUACCCUGUGAAUAAGCAUCGGCUAACUCCGUGCCAGCAGCCGCGGUAAUACGGAGGAUGCGAGCGUUAUCCGGAUUUAUUGGGUUUAAAGGGAGCGUAGAUGGGUUGUUAAGUCAGUUGUGAAAGGUUGCGGCUCAACCGUAAAAGCGCCAUUGAAACUGGCAGUCUUGAGUACAGUGGAGGUAGGCGGAAUGCGUGGUGUAGCGGUGAAAUGCUUAGAUAUCACGAAGAACCCCGAUUGCGAAGGCAGCUUACUAAGCUGUGACUGACAUUGAUGCACGAAAGUGUGGGUAUCAAACAGGAUUAGAUACCCCAGUAGUC